rfam:Gasterosteus aculeatus cont1.006494, whole genome shotgun sequence.
UUUAAAGUGUAAUGUAAGUAGCUUUGGAUAAAAGCGUCUGCUAAAUGACAUGUA